rnacentral:lncRNA from 1 species
AUUCCUAUUAUCUAAUAUUAAAUCUAAAAUUAAAACUAAAAUCAUGAGGAAUAGAGAAAUACCUCUAGGGUAACUAGAUUACCCUGCAGAUGAUCGCAGCAAUGCUCGAGAUUCUAAAAUAGCCACACAGUCGCCUAACCUCUAUCGAUAUCUACUUGAGGAGGAUCUAGAUUUUCUUCUCCUCAUAAAUUUUUUCUCCAAAAAUUAGAUCUGGAUC